GAACCAAAGUGCGCAUGGCAAUUCCUCGUCACUGCUCCUGCUGUCUCCAUCUUCUUCUCUCUGCUGCGAUGAACUGACUGAUGCGGAGAAGGUUCUGGCAGAGUGUCAUCAGGAGAAGCCGAUCACUUUCCACCAGUGCUUGACGCAGGACCAGCUUGACCGCUGCCAGAAGGUGGGGGAGGGGGUGUACGGUGAAGUGUUCCGAACGCUGCGGGGAAAGGAGCUUGUGGCUCUGAAGAUUAUUCCCAUUGAAGGAUCUCAGAAGGUGAACGGAGAACAUCAGAAAAGCUUUGCAGAAAUUCUUCCAAAA